UACGGGAGGUGCAAGCGUUGUUCGGAAUGACUGGGCGUAAAGCGCACGUAGGCGGCUUCGUAAGUCGGAUGUGAAAUCCCUGGGCUCAACCUAGGAACUGCAUCCGAAACUGCAGAGCUUGAAUGCUUGAGAGGUUGGUGGAAUUCCAGGUGUAGGAGUGAAAUCCGUAGAUAUCUGGAGGAACAUCGGAGGCGAAGGCGGCCAACUGGCGAUGCAUUGACGCUAAGGUGCGAAAGCGUGGGGAGCAAACAGG
rnacentral:rRNA from 1 species